CCUACGGGCGGCUGCAGUGAGGAAUAUUGGUCAAUGGGCGCAAGCCUGAACCAGCCAUCCCGCGUGCAGGAUGACGGCCCUAUGGGUUGUAAACUGCUUUUAUACACCAAGAAAAAUCUCCACGUGUGGGGACCCGACGGUAGUGUAUGAAUAAGCAUCGGCUAACUCCGUGCCAGCAGCCGCGGUAAUACGGAGGAUGCGAGCGUUAUCCGGAUUCAUUGGGUUUAAAGGGUGCGUAGGCGGCUUUUUAAGUCAGUGGUGAAAUCCUGUCGCUUAACGAUAGAAUUGCCAUUGAUACUGAUAAGCUUGAGUACAGUUGAGGUAAGCGGAAUGUGUAGUGUAGCGGUGAAAUGCUUAGAUAUUACACAGAACACCGAUUGCGAAGGCAGCUUACUAAACUGUUACUGACGCUGAUGCACGAAAGCGUGGGGAGCGAACAGGAUUAGAUACCCCUGUAGUC
rnacentral:rRNA from 1 species